AGAGUUUGAUCCUGGCUCAGAUUGAACGCUGGCGGCAGGCCUAACACAUGCAAGUCGAGCGGUAACAGGGGUAGCUUGCUACCCGCUGACGAGCGGCGGACGGGUGAGUAAUGCAUAGGAAUUUACCCGAUAGUGGGGGAUAACCUGGGGAAACCCAGGCUAAUACCGCAUACGUCCUACGGGGGAAAGGGGGCUCCGGCUCCCGCUAUCGGAUGAGCCUAUGCCGGAUUAGCUGGUUGGUGAGGUAAUGGCUCACCAAGGCGACGAUCCGUAGCUGGUCUGAGAGGAUGAUCAGCCACAUCGGGACUGAGACACGGCCCGAACUCCUACGGGAGGCAGCAGUGGGGAAUAUUGGACAAUGGGGGCAACCCUGAUCCAGCCAUGCCGCGUGUGUGAAGAAGGCCCUCGGGUUGUAAAGCACUUUCAGUGAGGAAGAACGCCUGAUGGUUAAUACCCGUCAGGAAAGACAUCACUCACAGAAGAAGCACCGGCUAACUCCGUGCCAGCAGCCGCGGUAAUACGGAGGGUGCAAGCGCUAAUCGGAAUUACUGGGCGUAAAGCGCGCGUAGGUGGCUUGAUAAGCCGGUUGUGAAAGCCCCGGGCUCAACCUGGGAACGGCAUCCGGAACUGUCAGGCUAGAGUGCAGGAGAGGAAGGUAGAAUUCCCGGUGUAGCGGUGAAAUGCGUAGAGAUCGGGAGGAAUACCAGUGGCGAA
rnacentral:rRNA from 1 species